GAAAUGCGAUACGUAAUGUGAAUUGCAGGAUUCAGUGAAUCAUCAAAAUCUUGAACGCAAAUUGCGCUUCAUUACUAUUUUGUAGUGGAGCACGCCUGUUUCAGUGUCUGUAUACCUAUAAAAGAAAGCAAAGCUUUUUGGCUGCGCUUUCUUUUGUGUUUGGUGGUUGCGUGUUUUUUGCGCGCAUCCGCUUAAGUUCAGACGACCGAUUCAUGCAACUGGGCAGGGUUCCGCCUUCGGGCGGUUCAGUGUGCUCACCCAUGGCAUGACGAAGUAGCUGCACUUGACUGUGGUUCACUCUCGUUUCAGGCCUCUAAGUGGGAAGCAUUUGUAAUCGAGUUUUUCGUUUUCCGCAGGAAAAGUCAACUUUACUUUGGACCUGAAAUCAGACGAGACUACC
rnacentral:misc_RNA from 1 species